UGGUAUGUCUUUCCACACUUCAAGGAUCUUCUUGAAGAGUUGUUCAUUUGCUUCCUCCGAGGCAGCUUCAGCAUUGAAGGAGAGCAUCACGCCAAUUCCCAAGCAAUCAGAAGACAUUACAGAGGGCAGAUGUGUCAGAUCUACUUGAGAAGGAAUGGAAGUUGGUUAUGAGCCAUCUGUCAAGGAUACUGGGAACUGAACUCAGAACCUCUUCCCGGCUGAACCACCUCUCCAGACCCCAUCAACUAAAUUCUUAAACAAAUAUGAAACUAACUAAAAACAGCAAAUAAAUGUAAGAGCCUCUCUUAUCUGAAUUA